ACUCUUCUUCUAUUUUCUUUAACCUCCCCUUCACUUUUUAUUUUUAUGGGGGUGGGUGGUGCUUGCUAUAUGCUUACCUUUUUCUUUUCUUUUUUCAUUUUUACAAAUUUCCUUUUUUGUCCUCACCCCUCAAUUCCUAGGGGCUUGAGUGAGUUUAAGAUUGGGUUUUCUUGGAAAUCACCUGUCCAUCGUUAAUUUUAAACAAUCUCCAUAUCUCCAAAGAAUCUCUUCCAUGUUAGUCUGGAAUGUGGUUAAUGAAAAACAAGUAGGGAGGAUUUCUGGGGCAAACACUGCCGGAUCAGGAUCGUAGUUCUCAGGCACGGAAUGGCUAGUGUGAGAAACACCAACGGCAGGCCCAUCUCAGAUCUUCACUAUGGCAACUUAUGCAAGAAACUGUUGAAUUAGACCCGUUUCCUAUAGAUGAGAAACCAUACAAGCUGUGAAUGUCAAGAUGUUGUCAUGAAGAGAGAGAGAGAGAGAGAGAGACUCUCAGUCUUUGCUACCAGUGUCUGAACUUAUCGGUACAUAGUUAUCUUGCCAGUAGCCCCACAUUCCAGGUGGUGGAAAAGCAAAUAUGCGAAUCAAGUUCCAGAAAUAAUCAAUCUUGAUGAUCCCAUUGCUUUUAAGAGAGACAUGCAAGGAAUGCUCUACAAAUAUAGCACAUGGAAUGUGGAAGCUGCUCUAUAAAUAAUAAAUAUUUUGUAUUGUUCUACAA
rnacentral:sRNA from 1 species